rnacentral:rRNA from 1 species
CGCCUCCUGCAGCAUAAAGUAUAGGAGGUCCAGCCUGCCCAGUGACUACGGGUUCAACGGCCGCGGUAUAUUGACCGUGCAAAGGUAGCGCAAUCACUUGUCUUUUAAAUAGAGACCUGUAUGAAUGGCUAGACGAGGGCUUAACUGUCUCCCCCCUCCAGUCAGUGAAAUUGAUCUAUCCGUGCAGAAGCGGGUAUAGUACUACAAGACGAGAAGACCCUUUGGAGCUUAAGGUACAGAAUUCAGCCACGUUAAGCAACUCCGUAAACAGCAAGAACUUAGUGGUCAUGAAAUUUUACCUUCGGUUGGGGCGACCGCGGAGGAAAAGCAAGCCUCCGAGUGGACUGGGCCGAGACCCUAAAGCCAAGAGAAACAUCUUCAAGCCGCAGAACAUCUGACCAAUAAUGAUCCGGCUAAAAAGCCGAUCAACGGACCAAGUUACCCUAGGGAUAACAGCGCAAUCCUCUCCCAGAGCCCAUAUCGACGAGGGGGUUUACGACCUCGAUGUUGGAUCAGGACAUCCUGGUGGUGCAGCCGCUAUUAAGG